GGCGAACGGGUGAGUAACACGUGGGUAACCUGCCCUGUACUCUGGGAUAAGCCUGGGAAACUAGGUCUAAUACCGGAUAUGACCUGCCUCUGCAUGGGGGUGGGUGGAAAGUUCCGGCGGUAUGGGAUGGACCCGCGGCCUAUCAGCUUGUUGGUGGGGUAAUGGCCUACCAAGGCGACGACGGGUAGCCGGCCUGAGAGGGUGACCGGCCACACUGGGACUGAGACACGGCCCAGACUCCUACGGGAGGCAGCAGUGGGGAAUAUUGCACAAUGGGCGAAAGCCUGAUGCAGCGACGCCGCGUGAGGGAUGACGGCCUUCGGGUUGUAAACCUCUUUCAGCAGGGACGAAGCGUGAGUGACGGUACCUGCAGAAGAAGCACCGGCUAACUACGUGCCAGCAGCCGCGGUAAUACGUAGGGUGCGAGCGUUGUCCGGAAUUAUUGGGCGUAAAGAGCUCGUAGGCGGUUUGUUGCGUCGGCUGUGAAAACUUCACGCUUAACGUGGAGCCUGCAGUCGAUACGGGCAGACUUGAGUUCGGCAGGGGAGACUGGAAUUCCUGGUGUAGCGGUGAAAUGCGCAGAUAUCAGGAGGAACACCGGUGGCGAAGGCGGGUCUCUGGGCCGAUACUGACGCUGAGGAGCGAAAGCGUGGGGAGCGAACAGGAUUAGAUACCCUGGUAGUCC
rnacentral:rRNA from 1 species